rnacentral:lncRNA from 1 species
GGGGGGGCGGUGCGGAGUGGAACAAAAUCGCCAAAAGAAGACCAUGUAUAAAAGAUUUAAAAAAAAAAAGGCUUUGCAGACUCAACUGAGUUUUUAAAAGAAAAAACAGGUAGUCUUAUAUUUUUUUUUCUUCUUAAGUAUGGGAACUUCCAAUGACUUCUUAAUUUGCAAAGAGAACAAAAGCUACAGCAUUUAUUCCUCUAAUUCCAGUAACAUUUUUUUAUCAAGACAGGUUGAUGGGACGUUUACACCCAGCACCAAUCCAUGAGAUCUUAGGGCCUGAGAAUCAUGGUUACAAUGAACAUAUGUGAAUACAUAGUACUUAUUUUGAGUUAAACCAAGAUUUUGAAACUUAACAAUGACAAAGGAAAAGGUUUUUGUGCAUGUUUGUUUCCAUAAACUGAGAAAUCCCUUUACACUCAUAUUGUCUACUCAUCCAAUAGAUACAACAGUUUGUUUUUUUUUCUUUUUAAGGGUCCGUUGCAAGCCUCCAGUAUCAUUCAUAAAAUAAAACCCAUUCGUGAAUAACUUCUAGAACACCUGAGCAGAAGCAAAACUCAAUUCUUUACGAGACUAGGGAAUAUAAGCGUCCACUCUAAGAUCUGGCGGGUUAGGAGCAGUGCCUGCGCUGGCGUCCAGAGAACGAGGAUACCAGGCGGUGAAACCUGCAGAAAGAUUGGUUUAAGGGCUGACAGGAAUCGAGCCCUGAAUAAAAACAAACAGACCAGAUGUGGAGAUGCGCAAGGAUGGCACCAGCCGGUCCUCGAACUGAGUAAAGUCUAGUCAAGUAUUUGCUCGGGAGGCCGCGGUCCUGGGCUGGGAGGACAGAGACGGGCGUGAAGAAGCGGCAGCGAAGGCGCACGGAGAUGGAGGCAAAGCUGCGGAGACGGAGGAGGGAGAAGGGAAGGCAGGCCAGGAGCGGCGGGAGCGGCAGCCGGACGCCAGCGCCCGCCGGUCGCACUCACCGCAGCACCCGGCUCCGCGCCCCGCGCUCCGCACUCCGCCCGCGCGCCCGCCGGUUGCUAGGACGCCGGCUCCCCGAAGUCGCGUCCUCCUGGCUCCACCAGAUUGUGAGACUUCUCAGCAGUGGAAUCUUUUUGCCUGAAGGGGCCUGCCUUCCAGGGAAGCCUAGAGUUGCAAGCACCAGAAAGGAAGAUUAUGUGCCAUGUGUAUCCCUAAAAGCUGGAAGACAGACUGAUCUGCGGAAGGAGCAAAACUGA